rnacentral:rRNA from 1 species
GAUGAACGCUGGCGGCGUGCCUAAUACAUGCAAGUCGAGCGAACAGACGAGGAGCUUGCUCCUCUGACGUUAGCGGCGGACGGGUGAGUAACACGUGGAUAACCUACCUAUAAGACUGGGAUAACUUCGGGAAACCGGAGCUAAUACCGGAUAAUAUAUUGAACCGCAUGGUUCAAUAGUGAAAGACGGUUUUGCUGUCACUUAUAGAUGGAUCCGCGCCGCAUUAGCUAGUUGGUAAGGUAACGGGUUACCAAGGCAACGAUGCGUAUCCGACCUGAGAGGGUGAUCGGCCACACGAGAACUGAGACACGGUCCAGACUCCGACGGGAGGCAGCAGUAGGGAAUCUUCCGCGAUGGGCGAAAGCCUGACGGAGCAACGCCGCGUGAGUGAUGAAGGUCUUCGGAUCGUAAAACUCUGUUAUUAGGGAAGAACAAAUGUGUAAGUAACUAUGCACGUCUUGACGGUACCUAAUCAGAAAGCCACGGCUAACUACGUG